AGAGUUUGAUCCUGGCUCAGGACGAACGCUGACGGUGUGCUUUAGGCAUGCAAGUCGAACGAGAAAGCCCUUCGGGGUGAGUAAAGUGGCGAACGGGUGAGUAACACGUGGGCAACCUGCCCCUCGCAGGGGGACAACCGGAGGAAACUCCGGCUAAUACCCCGUACGCUUGUGGAGUCGCAUGGCUCCGCAAGGAAAGGUAGCUUCGGCCAUCCGGCGAGGGAUGAGCCCGCGGUACAUUAGCUAGUUGGUGGGGUAACGGCCUACCAAGGCGACGAUGUAUAGCUGGUCUGAGAGGAUGAUCAGCCACACUGGGACUGAGACACGGCCCAGACUCCUACGGGAGGCAGCAGUCGGGAAUCUUGCGCAAUGGGCGAGAGCCUGACGCAGCAACGCCGCGUGAGCGACGAAGGCCUUCGGGUCGUAAAGCUCUGUUGUUGGGGACGAAGGGUUAGGGGUUAAUAGCCCCGAACCUGACGGUACCCUUCGAGGAAGCCCCGGCUAACUACGUGCCAGCAGCCGCGGUAAUACGUAGGGGGCGAGCGUUGUCCGGAAUUAUUGGGCGUAAAGAGCGUGUAGGCGGCCCGGUAAGUCCGCCGUGAAAACUCGGGGCUCAACCCCGGGCUUGCGGUGGAUACUGUCGGGCUAGAGGGUGGUAGAGGGGAGUGGAAUUCCCGGUGUAGCGGUGAAAUGCGCAGAUAUCGGGAGGAACACCAGUAGCGAAGGCGGCUCCCUGGGCCAUUCCUGACGCUGAGACGCGAAAGCGUGGGGAGCAAACAGGAUUAGAUACCCCGGUAGUCC
rnacentral:rRNA from 1 species